rnacentral:rRNA from 2 species
GGGUUGUGAGGUUAAGCGACUAAGCGUACACGGUGGAUGCCCUGGCAGUCAGAGGCGAUGAAGGACGUGCUAAUCUGCGAUAAGCGUCGGUAAGGUGAUAUGAACCGUUAUAACCGGCGAUUUCCGAAUGGGGAAACCCAGUGUGAUUCGUCACACUAUCAUUACGUGAAUACAUAGCGUAAUGAAGCGAACCGGGGGAACUGAAACAUCUAAGUACCCCGAGGAAAAGAAAUCAACCGAGAUUCCCCCAGUAGCGGCGAGCGAACGGGGAGCAGCCCAGAGUCUGAAUCAGCUUGUGUGUUAGUGGAACGGUCUGGAAAGUCCGACGGUACAGGGUGAUAGUCCCGUACACCAAAAUGCACAGGUUGUGAACUCGAAGAGUAGGGCGGGACACGUGGUAUCCUGUCUGAAUAUGGGGGGACCAUCCUCCAAGGCUAAAUACUCCUGACUGACCGAUAGUGAACCAGUACCGUGAGGGAAAGGCGAAAAGAACCCCGGCGAGGGGAGUGAAAAAGAACCUGAAACCGUGUACGUACAAGCAGUGGGAGCAUCCUUUUGGGUGUGACUGCGUACCUUUUGUAUAAUGGGUCAGCGACUUAUAUUCUGUAGCAAGGUUAACCGUAUAGGGGAGCCGAAGGGAAACCGAGUCUUAACUGGGCGUUAAGUUGCAGGGUAUAGACCCGAAACCCGGUGAUCUAGCCAUGGGCAGGUUGAAGGUUGGGUAACACUAACUGGAGGACCGAACCGACUAAUGUUGAAAAAUUAGCGGAUGACUUGUGGCUGGGGGUGAAAGGCCAAUCAAACCGGGAGAUAGCUGGUUCUCCCCGAAAGCUAUUUAGGUAGCGCCUCGUGAAUUCAUCUUCGGGGGUAGAGCACUGUUUCGGCUAGGGGGUCAUCCCGACUUACCAACCCGAUGCAAACUGCGAAUACCGAAGAAUGUUAUCACGGGAGACACACGGCGGGUGCUAACGUCCGUCGUGAAGAGGGAAACAACCCAGACCGCCAGCUAAGGUCCCAAAGUCAUGGUUAAGUGGGAAACGAUGUGGGAAGGCACAGACAGCCAGGAUGUUGGCUUAGAAGCAGCCAUCAUUUAAAGAAAGCGUAAUAGCUCACUGGUCGAGUCGGCCUGCGCGGAAGAUGUAACGGGGCUAAACCAUGCACCGAAGCUGCGGCAGCGACACUAUGUGUUGUUGGGUAGGGGAGCGUUCUGUAAGCCGUUGAAGGUGUAUCGUGAGGUAUGCUGGAGGUAUCAGAAGUGCGAAUGCUGACAUAAGUAACGAUAAUGCGGGUGAAAAACCCGCACGCCGGAAGACCAAGGGUUCCUGUCCAACGUUAAUCGGGGCAGGGUGAGUCGACCCCUAAGGCGAGGCCGAAAGGCGUAGUCGAUGGGAAACAGGUUAAUAUUCCUGUACUUGGUGUUACUGCGAAGGGGGGACGGAGAAGGCUAUGUUAGCCGGGCGACGGUUGUCCCGGUUUAAGCAUGUAGGCGGAGGUUCCAGGUAAAUCCGGUACCUUUUUAACGCUGAGGUGUGAUGACGAGGCACUACGGUGCUGAAGUAACAAAUGCCCUGCUUCCAGGAAAAGCCUCUAAGCAUCAGGUAACACGAAAUCGUACCCCAAACCGACACAGGUGGUCAGGUAGAGAAUACCAAGGCGCUUGAGAGAACUCGGGUGAAGGAACUAGGCAAAAUGGUGCCGUAACUUCGGGAGAAGGCACGCUGAUAUGUAGGUGAAGUGAUUUACUCAUGGAGCUGAAAUCAGUCGAAGAUACCAGCUGGCUGCAACUGUUUAUUAAAAACACAGCACUGUGCAAACACGAAAGUGGACGUAUACGGUGUGACGCCUGCCCGGUGCCGGAAGGUUAAUUGAUGGGGUUAUCCGUAAGGAGAAGCUCUUGAUCGAAGCCCCGGUAAACGGCGGCCGUAACUAUAACGGUCCUAAGGUAGCGAAAUUCCUUGUCGGGUAAGUUCCGACCUGCACGAAUGGCGUAAUGAUGGCCAGGCUGUCUCCACCCGAGACUCAGUGAAAUUGAACUCGCUGUGAAGAUGCAGUGUACCCGCGGCAAGACGGAAAGACCCCGUGAACCUUUACUAUAGCUUGACACUGAACACUGGUCCUUGAUGUGUAGGAUAGGUGGGAGGCUUUGAAGUGUGGACGCCAGUCUGCAUGGAGCCAUCCUUGAAAUACCACCCUUUAAUGGCUGGUGUUCUAACGUGGACCCGUAAUCCGGGUUGCGGACAGUGUCUGGUGGGUAGUUUGACUGGGGCGGUCUCCUCCUAAAGAGUAACGGAGGAGCACGAAGGUUAGCUAAUCCUGGUCGGACAUCAGGAGGUUAGUGCAAAGGCAUAAGCUAGCUUGACUGCGAGAGUGACGGCUCGAGCAGGUGCGAAAGCAGGUCUUAGUGAUCCGGUGGUUCUGAAUGGAAGGGCCAUCGCUCAACGGAUAAAAGGUACUCCGGGGAUAACAGGCUGAUACCGCCCAAGAGUUCAUAUCGACGGCGGUGUUUGGCACCUCGAUGUCGGCUCAUCACAUCCUGGGGCUGAAGUAGGUCCCAAGGGUAUGGCUGUUCGCCAUUUAAAGUGGUACGCGAGCUGGGUUUAGAACGUCGUGAGACAGUUCGGUCCCUAUCUGCCGUGGGCGCUGGAGAAUUGAGGGGGGCUGCUCCUAGUACGAGAGGACCGGAGUGGACGCAUCACUGGUGUUCGGGUUGUCAUGCCAAUGGCAUUGCCCGGUAGCUAAAUGCGGAAGAGAUAAGUGCUGAAAGCAUCUAAGCACGAAACUUGCCCCGAGAUGAGUUCUCCCUGAGACUUUAAGUCUCCUGAAGGAACGUUGAAGACGACGACGUUGAUAGGUCGGGUGUGUAAGUGUAGCGAUACAUUGAGCUAACCGAUACUAAUGAACCGUGAGGCUUAACCUUACAACGCCGAAG